GUAGUCUGCAACCCGACUACAUGAAGCCGGAAUCGCUAGUAAUCGCGGAUCAGAAUGCCGCGGUGAAUACGUUCCCGGGUCUUGUACACACCGCCCGUCACACCAUGGGAGUCGGAAAUGCCCGAAGUCUGUGACCCAACCGUAAGGAGGGAGCAGCCGAAGGCAGGUCGGAUGACUGGGGUGAAGUCGUAACAAGGUAAC
rnacentral:rRNA from 1 species